rnacentral:rRNA from 1 species
AUGGAUGCUGUGUUUAUACCUUCUGCCAACCCUUUGGGUUUAUCUUGUGGAUCUAUUCUCAUGGAGUUGGUUGAGCUAUCCAGCACAUCACUGGCUGAAGCAAUGUUCGAGAAACUCGGUCUCCCUAAACCAGUGUACUUUGUGCAUCAUCUUUCACAAAAUCGAUUUAGAACAGAGAUUCAAUUUCAUCGCACAAAAGCACGGUACCAUGCUUCAGCGUGCCGGACUAAAUUAUCAAGCCGUAUAUGUCAGAAUGUGGUAGCAUCAAUGAAUCAUGCAGCCGAGAAGGCCAUCGAAUACAUGCAGAACAAAUAG